rnacentral:rRNA from 1 species
AAUUUGACCUCGGAUCAGGUAGGAAUACCCGCUGAACUUAAGCAUAUCAAUAAGCGGAGGAAAAGAACCAACAGGGAUUGCCCUAGUAACGGCGAGUGAAGCGGCAACAGCUCAAAUUUGAAAUCCUGCCUAGGCCCGAGUUGUAAUUUGCAGAGGAUGCUUCUGGCGAGGUGCCUUCCGAGUUCCCUGGAACGGGUACGCCACAGAGGGUGACGAGCCCCGUAUGGUCUGGACACCGAGCCUGUGUGAAGCUCCUUCGACGAGUCGAGUAGUUAUGGAGAAAUGCUGCUCACUAAAUAUGGCGA